rnacentral:rRNA from 1 species
GAUGAACGCUGGCGGCGUGCCUAAUACAUGCAAGUCGAGCGAACAGACGAGGAGCUUGCUCCUCUGACGUUAGCGGCGGACGGGUGAGUAACACGUGGAUAACCUACCUAUAAGACUGGGAUAACUUCGAGAAACCGGAGCUAAUACCGGAUAAUAUAUUGAACCGCAUGGUUCAAUAGUGAAAGACGGUUUUGCCGUCACUUAUAGAUGGAUCCGCGCCGCAUUAGCUAGUUGGUAAGGUAACGGCUUACCAAGGCAACGAUGCGUAGCCGACCUGAGAGGGUGAUCGGCCACACUGGAACUGAGACACGGUCCAGACUCCUACGGGAGGCAGCAGUAGGGAAUCUUCCGCAAUGGGCGAAAGCCUGACGGAGCAACGCCGCGUGAGUGAUGAAGGUCUUCGGAUCGUAAAACUCUGUUAUUAGGGAAGAACAAAUGUGUAAGUAGCUAUGCACGUCUUGACGGUACCUAAUCAGAAAGCCACGGCUAACUACGUG